rnacentral:rRNA from 1 species
GACAGAGGGUGCAAACGUUGUUCGGAAUUACUGGGCGUAAAGCGUGUGUAGGCGGCCCUGUAAGUCAGGUGUGAAAGCCCCAGGCUCAACCUGGGGAGUGCACUUGAUACUGCGAGGCUUGAGUGCAGGAGAGGAGAGUGGAAUUCCUAGUGUAGCGGUGAAAUGCGUAGAUAUUAGGAGGAACACCAGUUGCGAAGGCGGCUCUCUGGACAAAUGCUGACGCUCAUGCACGAAGGCUAGGGUAGCGAACGGG